rnacentral:rRNA from 1 species
GCAUAUCAAUAAGCGGAGGAAAAGAAAAUAACAAUGAUUCCUCUAGUAACUGCGAGUGAAGAGGGAAAAGCUCAAAUUUUAAAUCUGUUAGGUUUACCUAACCGAGUUGUAAUUUGAAGAAGCGUUUUCUGCGAAUUUGGUUAGUCCAAAUCCUUUGGAAUAAGGUAUCAUGGAGGGUGAGAAUCCCGUUCGGUUAACCAAAGCGCUUUACGAUACGCUUUCAAAGAGUCAAGUUGUUUGGGAUUGCAGCUUAAAAUGGGAGGUAAAUUUCUCCUAAGGCUAAAUAUUGGCGAGAGACCGAUAGCGAACAAGUACCGUGAGGGAAAGAUGAAAAGAACUUUGAAAAGAGAGUUAAACAGUACGUGAAAUUGUUGAAAGGGAAACGAUUAAAGUCAGUCGUACCUACGAGUGAUCAACCUACUCGAGUGCGAUUUUGUGGGUAUGUUUGAGCUUAAAAACCUUCAUGCUUACAAAUUGGUACUCUUUGGGCGUACUUUCUCGUAUGGUAAGUUAACAUCAAUUUUGAUCAUUAUAAAAUGACUGGAGCAAUGUAGCUUCAAUCUCGGUUGAAGUGUUAUAGCCUUUGGUAGAUGUAAUGAUUGGAUUGAGGACUUGCGGCGGAUACCCUCUGGGCUAUUCGUCUGAUUUGGAAGUUACCUUGGUGUCGAAAGCGUGCUUACGAUAUUAAGGUUGACGGCCAAUAGGUUAGAACAUGAUUAAAUUCGUUAAGGAUGUUGACGUAAUGGCUUUAAUCGAC